AAAACGACUCUCAGCAACGGAUUUCUUGGCUCUUGCAACGAUGAAGAAACGCAA
rnacentral:rRNA from 1 species